rnacentral:rRNA from 1 species
GACGAACGCUGGCGGCGUGCUUAACACAUGCAAGUCGAACGAUGAACCCGGAGCUUGCUCCGGUGGAUUAGUGGCGAACGGGUGAGUAACACGUGAGUAACCUGCCCUUGACUCUGGGAUAACUGCGGGAAACUGUAGCUAAUACCGGAUACGACCCUCGGCGGCAUCGCCAGGGGGUGGAAAGAAUUUCGGUCAAGGAGGGACUCGGGGCCUAUCAGCUAGUUGGUGAGGUAACGGCUCAGCAAGGCGACGACGGGUAGGCGGCAUGAGAGGGGGGCCGGCCACAAUGGGACUGAGACACGGCCCAGACUCCUACGGGAGGCAGCAGUGGGGAAUAUUGCACAAUGGGCGCAAGCCUGAUGCAGCAACGCCGCGUGAGGGAUGACGGCCUUCGGGUUGUAAACCUCUUUUAGUAGGGAAGAAGCGAAAGUGACGGUACCUGCAGAAAAAGCACCGGCUAACUANGUGCCAGCAGCCGCCGUAACAC